AGGUCGUGAGAUCGCUGUAUCAGGUAGACCCCAGAGACUCCACUUUUAUACCUGUUACGGCGUGACCAAUAGACAUAAGUCCUUAAAGUAGAUGUCACAUCACUCAUGGUCAACACAUUUCGUUUUAAUUGGUGUUGGGGAGUAAUUGUAGUACAGGUCGGUACCCGCCUCGUCCUCGCAAGUCACAGGAGGCGACAACUAUGAAGUGCGUUACCCUUGUCUGCCUCGGAAUCUUGCACAGAGAGACUAGCGUUUCACUGAGCAUUCAACUCACACAUGUAAUACUUAAUCUGGAUCACAGAUAAACCAGAUAAGAAUCAUGGAAAGACUUGUGAGAAAAUUUGAAGCACUCAACACAAGGAAUUGACUUCAUACGUAUUGAUAUCUCAGGGCGUUGGUAACACUUAUAAAGCAGAAAGUUUUCUGUACAGUUGCAAGAAGAG